rnacentral:misc_RNA from 1 species
CCGAGUGAGGGCCCCCGGCCCGACCUCCAACCCUUUGUUGACCAACACCUGUUGCCUCGGGGGCGACCCGGCCUCCGCGCCGGGGUCCCCGGUGGACCAAUUAACUCUGUGUCUGUACGUCGGAGUACUUAGCGAAUCAAUCA